rnacentral:rRNA from 1 species
UACGAAGGGGGCUAGCGUUGUUCGGAAUUACUGGGCGUAAAGCGUGCGCAGGCGGCUUCUCAAGUCAGGGGUGAAAGCCCAGAGCUCAACUCUGGAAUUGCCUUUGAGACUGAGUGGCUUGAGUACGGGAGAGGUGAGUGGAAUUCCCAGUGUAGAGGUGAAAUUCGUAGAUAUUGGGAAGAACACCGGUGGCGAAGGCGGCUCACUGGCUCGUAUCUGACGCUCAGGCGCGACAGCGUGGGGAUCAAACAGG